CGGGAGGUGGCGCAGUUUGGCUAGCGCACUUGCAUGGGGUGCAAGGGGUCGCGGGUUCGAAUCCCGCUCUCCCGA
rnacentral:tRNA from 1 species